rnacentral:rRNA from 1 species
AAACUAACAGAUUUACUUCGGUAAUGACGUUAGGAAAGCGAGCGGCGGAUGGGUGAGUAACACGUGGGGAACCUGCCCCAUAGUCUGGGAUACCACUUGGAAACAGGUGCUAAUACCGGAUAAGAAAGCAGAUCGCAUGAUCAGCUUUUAAAAGGCGGCGUAAGCUGUCGCUAUGGGAUGGCCCCGCGGUGCAUUAGCUAGUUGGUAAGGUAAAGGCUUACCAAGGCGAUGAUGCAUAGCCGAGUUGAGAGACUGAUCGGCCACAUUGGGACUGAGACACGGCCCAAACUCCUACGGGAGGCAGCAGUAGGGAAUCUUCCGCAAUGGGCGAAAGCCUGACGGAGCAACGCCGCGUGAGUGAUGAAGGUCUUCGGAUCGUAAAACUCUGUUAUUAGGGAA